rnacentral:rRNA from 1 species
UGCAAGUCGAGCGGCAGCGCGGGGCAACCUGGCGGCGAGCGGCGAACGGGUGAGUAAUGUAUCGGAACGUACCCAGUCGUGGGGGAUAACUAUCCGAAAGGAUAGCUAAUACCGCAUACGUCCUGAGGGAGAAAGCGGGGGACCGUAAGGCCUCGCGCGAUUGGAGCGGCCGAUAUCGGAUUAGCUAGUUGGUGAGGUAAAGGCUCACCAAGGCGACGAUCCGUAGCUGGUCUGAGAGGACGACCAGCCACACUGGAACUGAGACACGGUCCAGACUCCUACGGGAGGCAGCAGUGGGGAAUUUUGGACAAUGGGGGCAACCCUGAUCCAGCCAUUCCGCGUGAGUGAAGAAGGCCUUCGGGUUGUAAAGCUCUUUCAGCAGGAACGAAACGGUGGUCCCGAAUACGGGCUACUAAUGACGGUACCUGAAGAAGAAGCACCGGCUAACUACGUGCCAGCAGCCGCGGUAAUACGUAGGGUGCGAGCGUUAAUCGGAAUUACUGGGCGUAAAGCGUGCGCAGGCGGUUCUAUAAGACAGAUGUGAAAUCCCCGGGCUUAACCUGGGAACUGCGUUUGUGACUGUGGGACUCGAGUGUGGCAGAGGGGGGUGGAAUUCCACGUGUAGCAGUGAAAUGCGUAGAGAUGUGGAGGAACACCGAUGGCGAAGGCAGCCCCCUGGGUCAACACUGACGCUCAUGCACGAAAGCGCGGGGAGCAAACAGGAUUAGAUA